CCUACGGGAGGCAGCAGUGGGGGAUCUUGGACAAUGGGGGAAACCCUGAUCCAGCGACGCCGCGUGAGUGAAGAAGUAUUUCGGUAUGUAAAGCUCUAUCAGCAGGGAAGAAAGAAAUGACGGUACCUGAGUAAGAAGCCCGGGCUAACUACGUGCCAGCAGCCGCGGUAAUUCGUAGGGGGCAAGCGUUAUCCGGAAUUACUGGGUGUAAGGGGAGCGUAGACGGUAAUGCAAGUCUGGAGUGAAAGGCGGGGGCCCAACCCCCGGACUGCUCGGGAAACUGUGUAACUGGAGUGCAGGAGAGGCAGGCGGAAUUCCUAGUGUAGCGGUGAAAUGCGUAGAUAUUAGGAGGAACACCAGUGGCGAAGGCGGCCUGCUGGACUGUAACUGACGUUGAGGCUCGAAAGCGUGGGGAGCAAACAGGAUUAGAUACCCGAGUAGUC
rnacentral:rRNA from 1 species